ensembl:lncRNA
CAUGGGCUAUUCUCCCUUCUCCAUAAAUUGGCGUAUGUUAAAACUUAGAGAAGCAGACAUGAGUUGACUUGCUUUGACACUGCGGAUGCCUUCUGGAAACACCCUUGUCUCACACAUGGCUCUGUUUUGGGUUUUGAGUGCUGAAAGCAGCAGCUUCAGUCAGUAAUUUGUAUGGCUUGGCUGAGUCCAGUGUGGUCUCCGAAUGGACUCAUUCCUUUCUAGGUCAAAUAUCUCUCAGCAGUACAGUCGACUGCUGCGUUGUUGUUAGACAUUCCACAGAUAAACAGUGGAGGUCACUGCAGCGUGCUUCUGUGUAACGUGCCUGAGCCCAGGAUCCAUGAAGCACAGGGAGGCCCAUGGAGCAAGUUCUGCCUCCCUCCCUGUUUUGGUCACUUUGAUCUGUGUAGCCAUGUUUGCAACCCUGCUUCUUCCCAGGAAGCUGUGAAUUGUGGAGCCAUGGAUGCUGGAUCUGCUGCCUGUUCGCUCCAGGAGGCUGCCCGCUGGAGAAUGUUUGCCACGUUCUACAGGCUUGCAGUGCUUCUUCUUCAUCUCAUUGAAACUGGGAAACUUGCAUGUUGAUACUUCGCUCUGACUUCAUUAACAGUCAAAACGUUGCAAGACUUCUAGGUGCACUCAAGCUGAUCUGCAAAGUUCUUCCAUCCUCCCAGCUCCUUCAGGAUGACCUUCAAGCCUUGCUGCUUUGACGUUUCUUUAUUUAUCUAAGAAAAUAAUUUGUACCGUGAACAGUUUUGCCAAAACUUUGGUAAGUGAAUGUGACCUACAUGGUUCUGUUUGUAUCUGUGCUUAAAGGACAUGUAAACACUAGGUAUGAGCUGGACCAUAGACCUAAUGUGACUUGUAAGAAUGUUGAAAAUAAGGUUCUUGUGUGUAUGCAGCUGAGUUCUGGAAAAACAACCACUUCAUUUGAUGCAAACAAAAUACUUCUUGUUUAGCAUGAUUGUUUAGUAUGGAGACUGGCUGCAUUGUGCAAGUUGGACAAGCUGGUAGACUAAAUGUCCAAAUAUUUACCCACAGGAUCAGAUUUUUGAUAGUCAAAAAACAGGAGUGAGAUUUGGGACAACUUUUAAAGAUGGUUUUUAAUAGGCAUAUGUGGGGAUCCCAAGGCAAGUGACCCAGGCUGAUUUAAGAGAGCAAAACCACAUAAUAGCAUGAAAUAUAAUAACAGCAUGAAUGCUGUGAUUAUGUCCCGGAAUGAAGUCUAGGAUAAGAUUCAGUGCUACUGCUUGAUUUCUGCCAUGUUGUUCCAAAACAACCUAACAUUAUUUCUGUCUCUCUAUUUUUAGCUGCAAAAGUUGGGGGGGUAUUAAACGUCUCACUGUUGUUGCUGAGUAUAGAGCUAAAUUUUGUCUUGCAGUUAUUGCAUGGAGUGGUUUAUGAAUGCAAAUGGCAUUCCAGCCCAUUACAUUACCUCAACCUACUCCUCUUAGCAUGUUCUGUUUGUUUGUUGGUUUGAAUCAAAAAGAAUCACAAGGCAAAGUGUGUCAGACUGAUUUAAAUUGUACGACCUAGUUCCUGUCUUACGAUUUUUGCAUUAUUUUCUGUCAUUGAUCUGGAUGCU